rnacentral:misc_RNA from 1 species
ACAUUUUGGGAAAUACAAUAUAUAAAGUGGUAGAAAUAAUCAUGUAUCCCCUGAAACAGUUGGCCCACUAUUUUGAUUUUGAUUUGCGAAGAACUGUUGAUGAAGCCGUGGUACUCUCAGCCUUUUCUCUAUCGGAACUUUCUUUCGGGGGCAGUAUGGCAGAUCCCAUCCCAAAUAAAGCAGAAGGAAUUACAGAAGAUAAAGAGGAGGUAGAGACUCCAGAGGUUUUUACUGUAACCUGGAUGCCAGACGACCAUAUCAGCGAGUUGACAUAUAUUUUGCAAGGAGCACCUGCAGAUAGAGUGGAGAAAGUUUUAGUGCAUUAUGUGGAAGGAAGUAUUGAACCGGCAGGCUGGCAAGCAAUUUGGUCUGUUUCAGCCAGACAGACAAACUGCUUCUUGAACUUGGAUCACAGUGCUGAUAUCCUUGUGGAUGUUGUAAAUGUGAGUCAUGAAAAGCUACUGGCAGAUGUGACAAUUUUGGACUUGGUUAAGCCUUCUGAUAAUGAACAUGACCAACAAGUAAUUAAAGAGGCAAAAGGAACUGUGAUAAGUAUACCAUUAAUGCAGUUAUAUCCAAUAGCUGAUCAAGAGAACAGUUUGAUUGAUAUCAAUACAACAACUGAAGUAGUAGAACAAGUCAGAUUCUUCUAUGAAUACAUAUGGCGGGCUUGGGAUCUUGAAGAAGAAAAUAUCUGUUACACUAGCUCUCUGGUUGCUGCCCGUUUCAAGUUAUACCAAGAUAUAGAAAAUGGUAUCAUCCCCAAAGCAGUGGCUUCAGAGUUGAGAAGUCUAGUGAAGAAGGCACUCUUAGUAAGACAGGAAAUUGAGAGAGUUGAGGCUUUAACGGAAGGUGAAGAUCCAGAUUCAGAUGUUGACCAAAGAGAUGUUAUUCAACUCAUCAAAUUGCACCAACAAAUGGAAAAACUCAGAUCACGCUAUGAUUCUUUGCAAGAUCCAGUAUUGAGGAUGCUAUCAAGAGACCAACAAGACAUUGAAUGGCUUGAAUGCCAUGGGAGAAGAAAAAAUGGAUCCCCCAUUAAGAUUGUUGUGGAUUCAUUGACCUGCUGUGAGUUAGCUCAUGAGAUGACAAAAUUGCCAGACCUCAUUAAGUCUUUAAAAAAGGUGCCUGAAGAAACUGCAUGCCAGUCUUUCCCAACACUACAGUUAGCAUUAGAUGAGUCCAUGAAAGGAGACAUUAUAGUGCUCUGUAAUGGAACUCAUUCACUUCAGCAUCUUGGGCUUAUGAGUUAUGGUGGUAUUAUAGCUGGCUUAGGUGAUAACGUCGCCAUUGAAGGAAGUGAAAGCACAGGCGAUGUACUGAUUGACGCAAAUGGUGAUUUAGUGCUCCAGAAUCUUAUCAUACGGCCCUCUGAAGGUCAGGUGGGGAUUGCUCAUCACGAAGGCAAUCUCAAACUUAGAGAUAUUCGUAUAGAAGAGAAAGUACUUGUGUUUCUCUGUUGGAUUGUACAGUCACUAAGUGUGAUGUUGGCCUUCAAUUUGAAGAACAAGCCAAGGUGAGCCUUACCAGAACUAGUAUUAAAGAAAAUUCCAACUAUGGAAUCCAUGUAGUUUGGCCAGAAGGAUCAAAUAUUUCAAAAUUUGACACUAUCCCAAAAACGGAACUUCUACAAUGUUUAUUGCAAGAGUCCGAAGAAAAUGUGAUUGAGAAUAAUGGAACGAAUAUUUCCGUUAUGACUGCUAAAGGUAGGAGUGACAACCCUGCAUCUCCAUCUCAUUUCACAGCUUUUCGACACCAUCGCUCCCGUGGAUCUAUGGACUCUGGCUGUGACUUCCUU